CCCUUAGAUGUUCUGGGCCGCACGCGCGCUACACUGAUGCAUUCAACGAGUCUAAAACCUGCUCUGAUAGGGGUGGGUAAUCUUUUGAAUGUGCAUCGUGAUUGGGAUAGAUGAUUGAAAUUUUUCAUCUUCAACGAGGAAUGCCCAGUAAACGCAAGUCAUCAGCUUGCAUUGAUUACGUCCCUGCCCUUUGUACACACCGCCCGUCGCUCCUACCGAUUGAAUGGUCCGGUGAAGCCUCGGGAUUGUGGUUGGUUUCCUUUAUUGGAGAUUGAUUGCGAGAACUUGUCUAAACCUUAUCAUUUAGAGGAAGGUGAAGUCGUAACA
rnacentral:rRNA from 1 species